CAGUAGCCGCGGGAAUACAGAGGGUGCGAGCGUUAAUCGGAUUUACUGGGCGUAAAGCGUGCGUAGGCGGCUUCUUAAGUCGGAUGUGAAAUCCCUGAGCUUAACUUAGGAAUUGCAUUCGAUACUGGGAAGCUAGAGUAUGGGAGAGGAUGGUAGAAUUCCAGGUGUAGCGGUGAAAUGCGUAGAGAUCUGGAGGAAUACCGAUGGCGAAGGCAGCCAUCUGGCCUAAUACUGACGCUGAGGUACGAAAGCAUGGGGAGCAAACAGGAUUAGAUACCCCCGUAGUCCCUGUCUCUUAUCA
rnacentral:rRNA from 1 species